GGGCUAGUAGCUCAGCUGGUUAGAGCACACCCCUGAUAAGGGUGAGGUCGGUGGUUCGAGUCCACUCUGGCCCACCA
rnacentral:tRNA from 1 species